ensembl:snRNA LOC120095818 U6 spliceosomal RNA
GUGUUCAUUUCAGCAGCAUAUAUACUAAAAUUGGAAUGAUACAGAGAUUAGCAUGCCCCCUGUACAAGGAUGUCAGGCAAAUUCAUGAAGCAUUCCAUAUUUUU